AGGAUCACUGCUUUGAGGGAUGAAUGUGGAGCGUUGUUUCCCCAUCACCUUAUAUAGCCCAUUUUCCUUUUUCCAAAUAUGUUGUCUGAUGUCGUUGCCAGAGGGAAAGAGUUUUUCUCUUCUCAUGAAGCAUGUUUGGCUUAAUCUAUCAGGAUAUCAGGAAAAUAAAUGAACAUGUGUGGUUAAAAAAAAACCUGACAGUCUUCUCCUACACAUUACCACAACAUUUCAGAAAUUGGAAGAUGAACUCUAAAGUAAACAAAUCUGUCUUCUGGAAUGCUUUCCCCAUGGACUUCCUCUGCUGUUGGAUUGCUUACCAGCGUCUGCUCACCCAGUUUACCGACCCUGCCAUCGCCUGUCAUGUUUUUUUUAACUCUUUUUCCCCUCUCCUACUUCUCUUCAUCUCAGUUAACCCUGAAGUGCUCUUAAACUCACAGAGUUUGGCUUUUAUAAUUACUUGAUCAGUUCACUGAUCAGUUACAGUACUGUCUUGAGCUUUGACAAAAACUUUUAUUCAAAUUCUGUUGAGGAGCCCUUGUAAUAUUUUCUCCAGCUUCCACCUGUGACUUUGUACUUCAGAGCACAUAAUGAAAUACGUGCUUGUUUCUAGUCAGUUGUGUUCUGUGUUUAAUUAAGGUAUAGCUGCAAUUUAUGCUGAGUCCCUGAGAGAUGAGUGAGUUAUUGAUGAUCUGGAGUCCCUCGGAGGUUAAGGGUAGAAACUUAACUGUAGCAGUAUCCUGGUCUGCUACUUUUGCAGAUGGAAUAAGAUGAGUAAACUAAAUGAUCUACCCUCUUGAUAAUAGAAUAGCAUUAAAGUUUUUUUCUUUCUUCCUUGAAUCAUUAUACUAUAGAUGUAAAUGCCAAGAAGUUAGAAUCAGUUCUGGGGAGAUGGAAAAUAAGUUAAAAUAUGACAUAAUAUUAGCAGUAAAUUAUGCUGGGAAGAACAGCCACGCAGGACAAAGAAGGAGCUCUGGAUUGAUUGGGAUGGGAUGGUAGGAAGGGCUGUUUGACUUUUAGACAGAUUGGUCAGGGUGGCCUCCCUGAGAA